rnacentral:tRNA from 1 species
GCCCGAAUGGCGAAACUGGUAGACGCGCUAGCUUCAGGUGCUAGUGCCAGCAAUGGCAUGGAGGUUCGAUUCCUCUUUCGGGUA